GAAUAUUGGACAAUGGGGGCAACCCUGAUCCAGCCAUGCCGCGUGUGUGAAGAAGGCCUUUUGGUUGUCAAUCACUUUAAGCUGUGAAGAACACUCCAUGGUUAAUACCCAUGGACGAUGACCUUAGCUGCAGAAUAAGCUCAGGCUAACUCUGUGUCAGCAGCGGCGGUAAUACAGAGGGUGCAAGCGUUAAGCGGAAGUACUGGGCGUAAAGCGAGCGUAGGUGGCUUGAUAAGUCAGAUGUGAAGUCCCCGGGCUUAACCUGGGAACUGCAUCUGAUACUGUUAGGCUAGAAUAGGUGAGAGGAAGGUAGAAUUCCAGGUGUAGCGGUGAAAUGCGUAGAGAUCUGGAGGAAUACCGAUGGCGAAGGCAGCCUUCUGGCAUCAUAUUGACACUGAGGUUCGAAAGCGUGGGUAGCAAAC
rnacentral:rRNA from 1 species